rnacentral:lncRNA from 1 species
AAGAUGGGGUCAAAAUAGUGGAAUGGGGUGGUGGGUUUUUAAUGAGUGUGGGUUAGGUUGUGUUCCCACUAGUUACCAGAGCCACAAAGUCAAAAUUGGCUAUAUCGUAAAAAUGUAUAAAGAAACAUUAGCCUUUUGGUCUUAAUAAUGUUAGCAGUGCGAUUAAGGUUAGGUUUCAAAUCACAUUUUAAGAAGAUAAUUGUAGAAAUAGGCGGGGUUUAUAGUGACUACCGGUUAGUUGGCCGGGUAAUUUUUCUCUUUUCGUAUCACAAAGUACACUGAGUGUACAAAACAUUAAGAGCACCUUCCUAAUAUUGAGUUGUACCCCCUUUUGCGCUCAGAACAGCCUCAAUUCGUCGGUUAGCAUGGACUCCACAAGGUGUCAAAAGUGUUCCACAGCGAUGCUGGCUCAUGUUGACUCCAAUGCUUCCCACAGUUGUGUCAAGUUGGCUGGAUGAGUUUUGGGUGGUGGACCAUUCUUGAUACACACGGGAAACUGUUGAGUGUGAAAAACCCAGCAGCAUUGCAGUUCUUGACACACUCAAACCGGUGCGCCUGGCACCUACUAACAUACCGUGUUCAAAGACACUUUAAUAUUUUGUCUUGCCCAUUCACCCUCUGAAUGGCACACAUACCCGAUCCAUGUCUCAAGGCUUAAAAAUCCUUAUUUAACCUGUCUCCUCCCCUUCAUCUACAUGAUUGAAGUGGAUUUAACAAGUGACAUCAAUAAGGGGUCAUAACUUUCUUUCUGGAUUCACAUGGUCAGUCUGUCAUGCAAGAGCAGGUGUUCCUAAUGUUUUUUGCCCUCAGUGUACAAUGGAUUUAUACUUCAGUCCAGGUGGUGGGGGUAAUGCACCAUUAUUGUAUGCUAACCGCCGUUAAACCCCACCGAAGAAGAAGGUGUAUCGUCAUACUGUCUAUGUAUGUUGUUGUACUUUGUUAAAAAUGUAACAAUCGCUGUUGAUAAUUAACUACCAAAUACAAGAUGUGGCAGCCAGAUCAUUUACAUAAUGAGUUGGUAUCUAUUAUGGAUGAAUUAAUGAUGUCGUUUGAGGAUGAAAUUGACAAAUGUAUGGCGGUCUCAGUCUUUUCCACACAACACAGCACAGACAUUGUCGAUGCAGGAAAGACAGGGGAGUCCAAGUUGGAGGUAAAAGUCCAGUUGAAAUGUGUGAUGAAACAGUUCGUGACACAGACUAUUAUCAAAAUCAACCACUUGAUCUCCAAAGGGACUGCAGCUCUGUGUUCACAGAUAUCCCAGAGUCAAAGUGAGGUUAAAUCUCUGAAAUGUAAGCUAUUGGAGAUGACUGACGGUAAGGAGAUACCUGAAAAGACAGUGGGAAGAACCCCACAGACAGUGGAAGAGGAGGAAUGGACGGGAUUACCAUAUUCACCGGAACUUGCAGAGGAUUUGGAGGUAUGUUAUAUUUAACAUGUUUGUGUUGGGGUAGGUUCCUUGUUCCUUGUCAAUCGUUGGCUUAUUGGUGAAAUCAGCAAUCAGACAAUGUCUUCUUAAAGUAAAUCAAUCAAACCUUUAUUAAUGCAAUUGCAGACAGAUGUUGACAACGGAACCACAGCAUGUAUGUUUCAGAGUAAGUUGUGCAAAAUAAAACAGGUCAAAGUUGCUUUAAUAGUCUUGCAGUCAACCCCUAGUGAUGUAACUGCCUACGUCAACACCUUCUACUCAUGAGACCAAGCCCAUGGAUAUACAGUUAUACAAACUUGCAGGAGAAAACAAUAGUCCUGUGUUUUCUAAGGGCUCAGCAGUAAUUUUCCAUUCCCGUGUGGUUUAUUAGUUUAUUAGUAUGUCUGACUUGUCUCUUUAUCUAUUUACUCCCCUGCAGGGAUCUGUGUAUCUCUUUUAGCCUUGAGGCGCUUUCUCACAGACACCCUGUUUUGACCGCAAUGGCUCACACAUCUCUGACCAUUUCUUAUAAGAGGCAGAGACUAGAAAAGAACUGUGGAACAGUAUUAAACUUUAUAAUGCAUAUAUUACUAAUCUGUGGUCCAGGACCCUAUAAAUGUAGUGGGGGAGGGUCUUAUAGCCCUUCUCCUUCUAUUAAUACAACAUAAGCAUAAUCAAUUAUUAUAAUACAUCAAUCAUUUGGUGCAGACCCUAUCAUGACCCCAAGGUGACCUCCAUCAUUUGCAUGAAUUAUGCAGUCCAAGGGUCUGCUGUUAUCAGUGGGCAUGAGCUCUUUACUGUUAUUAUCCUUGAAUACCUGGACUGACAUGUACUGCCAUUGUACCAUUGAGCAAGGCACUUAACUCCAUAACCUGAACCGGGGGUGCUG